GCAGCGCGCGGUUGCAGCCACCGAAACGCGAGGAUAACUCAGCCAGGAUAACAAUAUCGUGCGAUCCUUCGACGAUGGUCGGUUGAAUAUAAAUAUAGAGGUGGCCUCAAAGGCAAAAGCACGAAAUAACCCCGUACCACAGUGUUUAGAAAGUGCAAAAGUGUGUGUUUGUGUGAGAGAUAGAGAGAGAGAGUGUGGCAUUAGCGGGUUCACCACCUCCCACGCAGUUUGAACUUGUGGCAAAGUCGCAAAUGCAACGGCUAGUUGCGAAUUCACAGCGUGCCACGGGCAAUAUACUGACACCUCCAUCUCGUUCGGUCCCGAUCCCGUACCCGCUUCCGUUGCUGGUACCCCGGUAAAUCCGUGUCCAUCGAAAUAGCCCGUAACCCGUAACCCGUUUCGCAUCCGUAUUCGGUAUUCCGUGUUCCGUGUUCGCGUCGCGGUUCGUUGAGCUGGCAGCCAAAACUGUCGGUUUAGUUGCGCCAUCGCCAUUAUCUAUAUGCCAACAUAGCAGAACUCGGCUGCAGAUUGCAUCCCAUAUCCGCGGAACGUGUCGCCAUCGCCACCGCUGGCCAUGUGAACUGUAAGGCAAACAAUUUAAAGUUGAAAAAAUCAAUUAAUAACCAAUGAAGAUAAAUCCGAAAAGCAAUUAAUGUGAACGAAGGAAUUUAAAUAAAUCCAUAACUUUAACGAUACAUAUCAAUGUUAGUCUGAUUUUCCAUUAAUACCAUUAGCUUAUUAAAUACCCAUAUACACAGAUUCUUUAAAAAUAACCAAGUUUAAAGCAGAGCCUAGAGCAAUUAAAUCGAUUUGGAAUUCUUAGAAAACAAGUGAAGCGUUGAAAACGAGACCCGGUGGCAAAAUAAAUAUUUAAUUAAAUCGACUGUGUGUGCAAAAGGAUGCAAUUUAAUUGAAUGGAUAUAACGAAUCACGCGAGUUUUCCUGAAAAAAAAACCUCAAAAACACGCACAUCCGUGUCGCGCCAAAUCGCUUUGUCAUGUAAUGUCUUUAUGUCCUCGAGCGGAUCAAGUGCUUAGGCGAUAAGGAAAAGCAGCUGGAGCGGCUGGCUCCUUUACGGAUUUCCGGAUUAUAUGCAUAAAUGAAAGCACGCAUGCCACGGACGUAAGCCAAAGUUUCAAGGGGCCUAGGACUCCAUCGCACAGCGGAUUAGCUGCAACAUAAAGCCACACACACGUACACACACACAAAGGUCCUGAAUAGAGGCAAAAAACGCGAAGAAGCAGCAGGAAGCUGGGAUUUGGUGCCCUCCAUGACGUCAACUGUGUGUAAAUGGGCAAGCAAUUAAGCCGUUAACGAUGUGCCCGCUCUCAAAGGCGCCACGCAGGACCUCCAGGACCUCCACGAACUUCAGCACCACCCCGAUCCAGAAAGCGAUAGAACGCCAGAUAGAGUCCUUUACGAGCACAAGCGAACCAAUAAAAAAUGCAUUCAGCCGCGCUGCGUCCAAUGUCGCUGAUUAAUUCCAACUGAACAGUAGACAACGUCCGCUGAUAUCUGGAUUCCAUUUGUACUACAACCAAUGACAACAUGCUGAAACCGUUCGCCGUGAUUAUCGGAAUUUUUUA